ACUAACCUCACGUUUCCCUUCUGAUUUCGCGUCCCAUCUCUCUCCCGCACAGGAUUAAUAGGCCAGUUCUCCUCCUGACCCAGUGAGACAAGACAACACUGAGCUUUAAGAAAGAGUUGGUCAAGAUUUGGACAUAAUGGGAUACGCAUACUGCUGUACCGUGCUCGUUAUAGGACACCUUGCGCGACACCAAUCUACUGGAUUUUGGCUCUUCCCACCAAGUGUCAAACUUCCAAACAAAGUGGCAAACAAUAGCUCUCAGCCGGUUCUUAUAGAAUUGAACAACAGGACAACUGUUAAGACCUCCAAUUCUGCAGGGGUGAAAGUGAGAGUGCCUGGUUUUGGACAAACAUAUAGUGUUGAGUUCUUAGACACCAACAAGCUGGCAGGUUAUUUUCAUACUAUGGUUACUCAUUUGGUCAACAUUGGA